rnacentral:rRNA from 1 species
UGGGGAAUCUUAGACAAUGGGGGAAACCCUGAUCUAGCCAUGCCGCGUGAGUGACGAAGGCCUUAGGGUCGUAAAGCUCUUUCGCCAGGGAUGAUAAUGACAGUACCUGGUAAAGAAACCCCGGCUAACUCCGUGCCAGCAGCCGCGGUAAUACGGAGGGUGCAAACGUUGCUCGGAAUGACUGGGCGUAAAGCGCGCGCAGGUGGCCCGUUAAGUUGGCUGUGAAAUCCCCUGGCUCAACCAGGGAAGUGCAGUCGAUACUGGCGGGCUCGAGUCCCGGAGAGGGUGGUAGAAUUCCCAGUGUAGAGGUGAAAUUCGUAGAUAUUGGGAGGAAUACCGGUGGCGAAGGCGACCGCCUGGACGGGUACUGACACUGAGGCGCGAAAGCGUGGGGAGCAAACAGGAUUAGAUACCCCUGUAGUCC